rnacentral:rRNA from 1 species
UGGGGAAUAUUGGACAAUGGGCGGAAGCCUGAUCCAGCAACGCCGCGUGAGGGAUGACGGCCUUCGGGUUGUAAACCUCUUUCACCGAUGACGAAGCGCGAGUGACGGUAGUCGGAGAAGAAGCACCGGCCAACUACGUGCCAGCAGCCGCGGUAAUACGUAGGGUGCGAGCGUUGUCCGGAAUUAUUGGGCGUAAAGGGCUCGUAGGCGGUUUGUCGCGUCGGGAGUGAAAACCCAGGGCUUAACCCUGGGCUGGCUUCCGAUACGGGCAGACUAGAGGUAUGCAGGGGAGAACGGAAUUCCUGGUGUAGCGGUGAAAUGCGCAGAUAUCAGGAGGAACACCGGUGGCGAAGGCGGUUCUCUGGGCAUUACCUGACGCUGAGGAGCGAAAGUGUGGGGAGCGAACAGG